AUGGAGCGCCCGGCCCCUUCCAGAUCCUCCAUCCCUGGGAAUGAGGCCCAGGGAGACCUCCAAGCCCAGGGGCCGCGGCACCAGGAGUCAAGAUCAAGGGAGCUCUCUUGGAAUUUCUGGGGGCAGCGGGGCGGGGGUGGGGCCGAGGCCGGCAGACCCUGGGGUGCGGGGUGGACCGAGGCUGGCAGACGUGGCCGGGCGCCUCUGAGAAGCCCUCCCCAUGGGCUGUGCCCUGUGACCCACUCCUGGCACCUGCGCUGGCCUUGGGGGUGUCCUGGGUUGGGGCAGAGACAACCACGAUGGGGUCAGCACCGCAGGGACACUGGAAGCCCCCAGGGAGCAGACUGUCCAGGGCAGGCGGGAGGUGAGCCGCCCAGCCCGCCCUGCCCGCCCUGCCCGCCCGUAUCGGCGCACACGGGGCUCGGCCACAGGAGCAGCCAGGGUCCCGGCAAAGAGAACCCCCACCACACGGGCCGACCUGGACGGGAUCCCGCAGACCAGAAGGGGCUGUGUCAGCACCACGGGGCCCAAACGGCGGGAGGGAGGGCAGACCCGGUGCUGCGGGAUGCGGGCGGUGCCUCACCUGCUGGCCACCUGGGCGCCGGGCCCCUUCUCACACCUGCGGAACCGCGGUGCACUGUCACCCCGGCCGGGCGCUGCCCCUUGAGUGCGGAGGCCAGGGCUCUGGACUGGGCAGCUUCGGCCACGCUGGGCUCACCGGCAGCCCGAGGGCCCCGCGUCUCUGACGAAGUCAGGUCCUUUGCCAGUCUGCUUGUCCCUCUCGUCCCACCUCCAUGCUCUGUAGGCCUCCCUUUGGUGGGUCCCACCUGCUCCUCCGGCGGCUCAGGGCGGGAGGCUGGUGGCACCGUGGCAGUUGGGGCUCUGUUCCCAGGAGGGACGCAGCAGCACAAACAAGGAAGGACGGCAGGACGUGGCAGCCAAGCAGGCGCUCGGGACCCGCGAGCGAAGGCCUCCGGGGCUCCCGGGGAAUCCGUCCUUGGCCCCGGGAGCCACCCCAGUUUCCCCGUGGUGGCAGCUUCGUUGUCACUUUGCAGGCGCCCAAGGUGUUUCUGA
rnacentral:lncRNA from 1 species